ACAUUGUAGUUCCCAUGAUCUCCACAUGUUGGGAGGAACUGGUGGGAAGUAAUUGAACCAUGAAGGCAGUUUUUCCAAUGCUAUUCUUAUGAUAGUAAGUUUUCACAUGAUCUAGCAGUUUUAUACAGUGCUUCCUCCUUCACUUGACUCUCAUUCUUCACUCUCCUGCCACCUUGUGAAAAAGGACAUGUUUGUUUCCCCUUUUGCCAUGACUGCAAGUUUUCUGAGGCCUCCCCAGCCCUGCAGAACUGGAACUUAAAAUUAAAAGAUUAGCCAGACAUGAUGGCAGGCACCUGAAGUUGCAGCUACUUGGGAGGCCGAAGUGGGAGGAUCACUUGAAACAAGGAGGUUGAGGUUGCAGUGAGCCGUGAUUGUACCACUGCACUCCAGCCUGGGCAACAGAGUGGACAGACUAAAGACCGGGUUCUUUGUCCCAUUGGCCACAAAAAUUCAGGCUCACAGACAAUUUGAAUGCUUGCAUCCCAGACUCCACACAGAAGAAAAGGAGCCGGGAUCCUCCCCAGUCUACCAUGGUGCACAUGCUCAUCUCCUCUGGGAGUUUUUCGGGGGGAACCCCCUCCCUCAUGACUGUCUCAGUAAAAGAGUUACUACAAGAGAAAGUUGCAGAGGAGAAAGUAACACCAAGCUUAAUAUUAAGAAAUGA
rnacentral:lncRNA from 1 species